rnacentral:lncRNA from 1 species
AGCUUUUGCUUCUCCUUCUUCGAAUUUCUGUCCGUUUGCUGCCGCGUAUUCACCUAACAUCAUCCAAAUUAAAUAAGAAAAGAAAAACAGUUCUCUGAUUUUGGGUAAUUGAAAAAGGGAAAAAGAAGAAGAAAUGAAGCUAAGAAAAGGGAAGAAAGGGUAGGGAGGAGUAAUAAAUAAAUACGGUUUGGAGAGGAUAGGUAAUAAGUUGAGCGAUGAUGCCACCACCGGCACCGGCAAGCCCAUUGAUCAAAGCGUCCGACAUCUCUUCCCUUAACAAACAAUUUCAGGAAAUAGUUAAAGAAAGCGAAGGGAAGAAAAGGGGGUGGUGGAGUUGUUAGGGGAAGCGCCGGGGAAGGGCCCCAGCGUUAAGGGGUUAGGGGGAAGACUAUCUCUGACUUUGGAUGUAGCGAAGAAAGAGUAAUCUAACAGAUCAGAGUGAUGGCUCGUUCGCUAUCAUUUUAUGCUGAUGUUGUUGGGGGUGUUGGCGUUCCGUUUAAGAAAGAAGCAAGUGAAGUUCGUCACAUUGGUGUGGGCUGGUUUUGGCCUUUGUAAUGCUGCUGACUACCUGUUCGCUACUCUUCUUUCUAUUUCAUUCCCACUUUCUCGGUUUACUUCUUUU